AGGACGAACGCUGGCGGCGUGCUUAACACAUGCAAGUCGAGCGGAAAGGCCCUUCGGGACGGUGCCCUAGCGGCGAACGGGUGAGUAACACGUGGGCAACCUGCCCCUAGCACUGGGAUAACUCCGGGAAACCGGGGCUAAUACCGGAUAUGACCUUUGAGGGCAUCCUCGAAGGUGUAAAGGAUUCUGGCUAGGGAUGGGCCCGCGGCCUAUCAGCUUGUUGGUGGGGUAACGGCCUACCAAGGCGACGACGGGU
rnacentral:rRNA from 1 species